AACCAGCACCUCAAGUGGUCAGGAUGAUUAUUGGGCCUAAAGCAUCCGUAGCCUGUUCUGUAAGUUUUCGGUUAAAUCCAUAAGCUCAACUUAUGGGCUGCCGAAAAUACUGCAGAACUAGGGAGUGGGAGAGGUAGACGGUACUCGGUAGGAAGGGGUAAAAUCCUUUGAUCUAUUGAUGACCACCUGUGGCGAAGGCGGUCUACCAGAACACGUCCGACGGUGAGGGAUGAAAGCUGGGGGAGCAAACCGG
rnacentral:rRNA from 1 species